rnacentral:snoRNA from 1 species
AAUAUUAAGAAAUGAUAAAGGAUGAUGAUCUCAUUUGUGAGAUGCCCCUUCCUUGAACCUUGUUGUAACAUUGGCAUAUUACCUGUCUAAAG